GGGAAGUGAUUCUGGAACGAGCACUUCUUCAAAGGCAACGCCUAAGGAUGGGACGGCGGCGGAUUAGGUUGUUGGUGAGGUAAUGGCUCACCAAGCCUUAGAUCCGUAGGGGCCUUGAGAGAGGGAGCCCCGAGAAGGGCACUGAGACACUGGCCCUAGCCCUACGGGGUGCAGCAGGCGCGAAACCUUUACAAUGCACGCAAGUGUGAUAAGGGAAUCCUGAGUGCUCAUGCAAUGCAUGGGCUUUUGCCAAGAGUAAAUAUCUUGGCGAAUAAGUGGUGGGCAAUACCUGUGCCAGCCGCCGCGGUAAUCCAGGAGCCACAAGUGGCAACCGCUUUUAUUGGGUCUAAAGCGUCCGUAGCCGGUUACGCAAAUCUCCUGUGAAAUUGUCGGGCUCAACCCAACAGCGCGCAGGAGAGACUGCGCAACUAGGGACCGGGAGGCGUUAGAGGUAUUUCGGGGGGAGCGGUAAAAUGCUAUAAUCCCCGAAGGACCGCCUGUGGCGAAGGCGUCUGACGAGAACGGAUCCGACGGUGAGGGACGAAAGCUAGGGGAGCAAUCCGGAUUAGAUACCCGAGUAGUCCUAGCUGUAAACGCUGCGAGCUAGGUGUUGCAUAAUCCCAGGGAUUAUGCAGUGUCG
rnacentral:rRNA from 1 species